UGGCAUAUCUGGGGGAGGCAGAGUGGUGAAUCAGGGAGUAUAAUGAAUUUCAGGGUGGUGCAGGGCAUUUAUGGGGGGCAGAGUGGCAUAUCAGGGGGCACAGUGGCAUAUAGGGAGGUAUAAGGCAUAAAUGGGGGCGAGUGGCAUAUUGGAAGUUAUAAAGCAUAUCGGGGCACAGUGGCAUAUAGGGGGUAUAAGGCAUAUCGAUAUUAGGCAUAUCAGGGGGGCAUAAGACAUAUCUGGGGUAAAAGGUAUAUCAGGGGCUCAGUUGCAUAUCACUGGCAUAUAAGGAGUAUAAGGCAUAUCUGGGGGCAGAGUGGCAAGCUGGGGGUCAGAUGUGCAUAACUGGGGGCAGU